UACGGGGGGGGGCAAGCGUUGUUCGGAAUUACUGGGCGUAAAGGGCUCGUAGGCGGCCAACUAAGUCAGACGUGAAAUCCCUCGGCUUAACCGGGGAACUGCGUCUGAUACUGGAUGGCUAGAGGUUGGGAGAGGGAUGCGGAAUUCCAGGUGUAGAGGUGAAAUUCGUAGAUAUCGAGAGGAACACCGGUGGCGAAGGCGGCCAACUGGACGAAUACUGACGCUGAGACACGAAAGCGUGGGAGCAACAGG
rnacentral:rRNA from 1 species